rnacentral:rRNA from 1 species
GAUCCUGGCUCAGGGAUGAACGCUGCGGCGUGCUUAACACAUGCAAGUCGAACGAAGACAUCUGAGUGCUUGCACUUGGAUGGACUGAGUGGCGGACGGGUGAGUAACGCGUGGGUAACCUGCCUUAUACAGGGGGAUAACAGUUGGAAACGACUGCUAAUACCGCAUAAGCGCACGGUAUCGCAUGAUACAGUGUAGAAAAACUCCGGUGGUAUAAGAUGGACCCGCGUCUGAUUAGCUUGUUGGUGAGGUAACGGCCCACCAAGGCGACGAUCAGUAGCCGGCCUGAGAGGGUGAACGGCCACAUUGGGACUGAGACACGGCCCAAACUCCUACGGGAGGCAGCAGUGGGGAAUAUUGCACAAUGGGGGAAACCCUGAUGCAGCGACGCCGCGUGAGUGAUGAAGUAUUUCGGUAUGUAAAACUCUAUCAGCAGGGAAGAUAAUGACGGUACCUGACUAAGAAGCACCGGCUAAAUACGUG